rnacentral:rRNA from 1 species
UACGUAGGGCGCGAGCGUUGUCCGGAAUUAUUGGGCGUAAAGAGCUCGUAGGCGGCUGGUUGCGUCUGCUGUGAAAUCCCGGGGCUUAACCCCGGGCGUGCAGUGGAUACGGGCCGGCUGGAGGCAGGCAGGGGAGAAUGGAAUUCCCGGUGUAGCGGUGAAAUGCGCAGAUAUCGGGAGGAACACCAAUGGCGAAGGCAGCUUGCUGGGACGGUACUGACGCUGAGACGCGAAAGCGUGGGGAGCAAACAGG